AUGCUCAUUUCUGUCGUAUGCAAAAUGUUCUGCAAAUCAGCUAGCCUUGGCUGUGACCCCCGGGAAGCCAGAUGGGAUGCCAUCCCCCUUACUUCAGAAUUGUGGCCUUUCUCUUCUGAACUAUACUGGAAGAAACCAAUUCACCUCAAAUACCAAGGAAAUGGGUGUGAUGUAGGAGGCAGAAGAGUAGCCUUUUCCAUGCUGCCGGCAGAAUGGAGACAGACCUGGGCUCACACCCACCACCCAGACCCAGGAGUGGAUGGUUCAACGUGUACUGUAAGGCUAAAGAAGGUUGGCCAGGCAUGGUGGCUCAUGCAUGUAAUCCCAACACUUUGGGAGGCCAACGCCGGUGGACCGCUCGAGUGCAGGAGUUCGAGACCAGCCUGGGCAACAUGGCGAAACUCCAUCUCUACAAAAAAUACAGAAAAGCUGGGCGUGUUGGCAUGCACCUGUAGUCCCAGCUGCUCUGGAGGUUGAGAUGGGAGAAUCACCUGAGCCCAGGAGGUGGAGGUCGUGUGGGCCCUGGUUGCACCACUGCACUCCAGCCUGGGCGACAGAGACCCUGUCUCAAUUAAAAUAAAAGACUAAAGAAGGUCA
rnacentral:lncRNA from 1 species